rnacentral:rRNA from 1 species
AGAGUUUGAUCCUGGCUCAGGAUGAACGCUAGCGACAGGCUUAACACAUGCAAGUCGAGGGGCAGCACAGGUAGCAAUACCGGGUGGCGACCGGCGCACGGGUGAGUAACGCGUAUGCAACUUACCUAUCAGAGGGGGAUAACCCGGCGAAAGUCGGACUAAUACCGCAUGAAGCAGGGGCCCCGCAUGGGGAUAUCUGCUAAAGAUUCAUCGCUGAUAGAUAGGCAUGCGUUCCAUUAGGCAGUUGGCGGGGUAACGGCCACAAACGACGAUGGAUAGGGGUUCUGAGAGGAAGGUCCCCCACAUUGGUACUGAGACACGGACCAAACUCCUACGGGAGGCA